CACGNGCCGGAGGGCGAGGCUUCUCCUGCCGCGGGAUACAUUUGCUAAGGACUACAGAGCACGUAUUUUACGAUGCGUGGAAGAAAUCCCUCCAAAUGAACUAAAUAUCUCUCCUACUCAUCACGUCUCCUGUCCACAGGCAGUGGCUUUCAGACCUCCAGUGAAGUGCACGAAGAGCCUGGAGACGGCAUGUUCCUGCCGUGGGUGCCCAUGAGUUUGCUAGGCCUGCCUUUAUCCCAACAGCUUCUAUUGGAUGUGAGCAGACCAGUGGAACUAAAUGUCUCUCCUGCCAACAGCUGGAUCCAGGCAUUUCAGACCCAGCCUUUCAAACUGAAGUGGCCUGAGCCUGAGUUUUCCUGGUGUUACAUUCUGUCAUGGCAGAAUGCAUUCCUGUCCGUCUUGUCUAGUUGCAUUCUAGGCUUCAGAAUGGCAAAACCACCACUUGACAGAGAAAUGGAGUACCACAGCUGUGAAAACUGAACUGGACCACAUAACAACAAGCCUUCAAUAAUAUAUUCCUUUAAAGAAAUGCAGGGUUACCCAUAUCGGGGACCACUAAAGACGGAAGUAACAUGUCAUAGCUCAGAAAUUUCAAAGGACUAUAGAGACAGAAAAGCUAUUUCCAAGUAGAGCAGAUACUGUGCUGGAUGUUGUGUUAAGAUAGUGCACUUCCUUCUGAAUUUGUACUGAAAUGACACUGAGCCCCAAGACUAAAACCAAUGAGAUACAAAAUGUAAGUCACAGUGGACAAAUGCAGCAUUGAGCUGACAACUGAAAUACAGGGUAGGUAUUAAAUUUUAGUGUUCUUUCCAAGUUGCAUCUUGUUUCAUCUGUCAAAACCUUCUCUCAAGUUUCAUCAGAAUCUAGUAGACAUUGCUUCCUCUCCCAUAUUACUUUGCUACUUACCCCAAAGGCUGAUCUCAGUUUUGAAACUGCUGCAUUUUGGUAUGUGGUAGAGGUAUUCUUAUUAUUUUUAGAGCAGUAUUACUUUCUCUGUAUCUACACAGCUCAAAUUACAGCACACCAUUUUCAGCAAACUGAUUGAGAAUUCAUCCCAGGACCUGCAGUUAACCAGGAACUGCCUAGAAGCAGGAGACAAGGUCUUAAAGAGACAAGGCUCUUUAAGAAUAAACUGGUCAUGAUUAGUUUAUUCA
ensembl:lncRNA